rnacentral:lncRNA from 1 species
CUCUGAGAGGCGAGGACGCGGGAGGUCAGACCUGCCCAGCAAGAAAGGGUUGGCUCUCAGUGGGAGCUGGGAACAGUGGCCCCCACAUGGGGAAAACAGGAAUGUGGUGACCUCACACUUCAGAGCCACCCUGCUAGCUGGGCACAAUGUUAAUCCCAUUUUACAGAGGAGGAAACUGAGGCACAGAGAAGUUACGUCACACACAUACACACCCAACACACCCACACACAGGCUUGGAGCUAAUGAGUGGGUGAGCUGAGGCCCAAACCCCGGCAGGCUCGCUCCACGGAUCUCUCUAGAUUCCACCGCGGGCUCCCCUGGGCUCAGCGACAAGAACUAGCCACCGCGCCUUCUGGAGUUGUGUUGAUUCUGUACGUCCUUCCAUGAAAUUCCAUAUUGCACAUCCCCAAGCUAUAUCCAGGAAGUAGGAGUGGGAGUGGUUACUGAAGGGCCUCCCCAAAGUAGUCCCCCUGCGGGGUGGGGGUGGGGAGAGAGGAAAAGAAACCAAAGUCAGGUUACCCGACUGCGCAGCUAGAGUCCGGCUGGAGCUGUGGCGGGGUGUCAACCCGAACAGCUGCACACGCCCUUUCCUGUGGCUUGCACUGCCUCCUAGCUGGCGCGUGAUGUCCAGCGAUGAGCGUCCCUAGAAAGGCUGGGCCUAUUCCAGGUCAGCCUGGACGCCGUACAGGACCCACUCUGUGACUUUCUAUUGGGAAGCUGAUACAAGCCUUCCCAGGCCCAAGGGAAGGGGACAGUGAAAGAGCCUGCGGUUUGGGACCUCUGGGACCGCUCUUAGGAGAGAGAGCUGCGGAUGGAGGUGACCCGGCUAGGUGCUAGAGAAAGGAACCGCCAAGGCAGACUCGGCUAACGGGGAGGGGCUGUGGGGGUGUUCCUGCUGAGGACUCUGCAUCACUCUAGGGACAGAGACUCUGCCCCCUGCUCUUUCCUGGGCAAGUGUGGCUGGAGGUGCUGAGCCUAGCCUUACCUGGCUACCCUGCUUUUGAGCGGAGCAGGCAUCUUAGGGGCCCAGAAGCACACAGCGGUCUGCCUAGGGUGACCCGAGGUAAUCAAAGGAUCACAAAGCUGGCUGGCUGGAGUAGGAGGUGUGAAGGAAAGUUCCCAGAAAAACAAACGACGACAACAACAACAACAACAAAGCAAAACAAACAAACAAAAAACCAUCUUCACCGAACAUUACAGGCUGAUGGACUUACAAAACUUAGUGAUUGUGGAGAGGUUGGAAUGUUGCCAGUCCAGAGCCAAAUAUCCUACACUAUCCUUAAUCGUCCCCGUAACUGUUUAUUGCCCGCCCUCGUGUGACCUAACUUCCUUUUAGGAUACACUGAUACACAACUAGCUGACACAAACCCACAAGUUCAGGAUGUCUCCCCUGGCAUCACAGAGUCCAGAAGAGGGCAUCAGAUCACUAGGGACUGGAGUUAACAGAAGAAUGUGAGCCUCUUGUAGAUGCAGGAAUUGAACCUGGGUCCUCUGGAGGAGCAGCCAGUGCUCUUAACUGCUGAGCCAUCUCUCCAGCCCCUCCAUG